rnacentral:rRNA from 1 species
GACGAACGCUGGCGGCGUGCUUAACACAUGCAAGUCGAACGGAAAGGCCCUGCUUUUGUGGGGUGCUCGAGUGGCGAACGGGUGAGUAACACGUGAGUAACCUGCCCUUGACUUUGGGAUAACUUCAGUAAACUGGGGCUAAUACCGGAUAGGAGCUCCUGCUGCAUGGUGGGGGUUGGAAAGUUUCGGCGGUUGGGGAUGGACUCGCGGCUUAUCAGCUUGUUGGUGGGGUAGUGGCUUACCAAGGCUUUGACGGGUAGCCGGCCUGAGAGGGUGACCGGCCACAUUGGGACUGAGAUACGGCCCAGACUCCUACGGGAGGAAGCAGUGGGGAAUAUUGCACAAUGGGCGGAAGCCUGAUGCAGCAACGCCGCGUGCGGGAUGACGGCCUUCGGGUUGUAAACCGCUUUCGCCUGUGACGAAGCGUGAGUGACGGUAAUGGGUAAAGAAGCACCGGCUAACUACGUG